UACGGAGGAUGCAAGCGUUAUCCGGAUUUAUUGGGUUUAAAGGGUGCGUAGGCGGGGUAUUAAGUCAGUGGUGAAAGUUUGCAGCUUAACUGUAAAAUUGCCAUUGAUACUGGUACUCUUGAAUGCAAUUGAGGUAGGCGGAAUGUGUAAUGUAGCGGUGAAAUGCUUAGAUAUUACACAGAACACCGAUUGCGAAGGCAGCUUGCUAAAUUGUGAUUGACGCUGAGGCACGAAAGCGUGGGGAUCAAACAGGAUUAGAUACCCCCGUAGUCC
rnacentral:rRNA from 1 species